rnacentral:rRNA from 1 species
AGCGAACGCUGGCGGCAGGCCUAACACAUGCAAGUCGAACGAACCUUUCGGGGUUAGUGGCGGACGGGUGAGUAACACGUGGGAACGUGCCUUUAGGUUCGGAAUAACUCAGGGAAACUUGUGCUAAUACCGAAUGUGCCCUUCGGGGGAAAGAUUUAUCGCCUUUAGAGCGGCUCGCGUCUGAUUAGCUAGUUGGUUGAGGUAAUGGCUCACCAAGGCGACGAUCAGUAGCUGGUCUGAGAGGAUGAUCAGCCACAUUGGGACUGAGACACGGCCCAAACUCCUACGGGAGGCAGCAGUGGGGAAUCUUGCGCAAUGGGCGAAAGCCUGACGCAGCCAUGCCGCGUGAAUGAUGAAGGUCUUAGGAUUGUAAAAUUCUUUCACCGGGGACGAUAAUGACGGUACCCGGAGAAGAAGCCCCGGCUAACUUCGUG